rnacentral:tRNA from 1 species
GGGGAUUUAGCUCAGUGGCAUAAGCACCUGCCUUGCAAGCAGCAAGUGGUCAUGAGUUCGAUCCCCA